rnacentral:lncRNA from 1 species
CUACGCAGAUACAGACGUUUUCACCACUAAAUGGUUUUACACCGCAGACAGGACCUUCAGCAAAUCUACAGUAGACUGACACCUCCCUCGAGGAAUUAACUCACAUGUAAAAGGAUGUAAUUAGAGGAAUGGAAGAGACUGAGAUCUGCCUCAAGACUUCAUCUCGACAAGUGGAGCAUGAUUGCAUUGAGUCCAUUCAUUUUCAGCAUGUGUACUCUGUAUGUAAAGUCAUUUUUAAGACAUUAGAGCGAGAAAAAAAGCCCCUGUGUUAAACAACAAACAGAUAUAUGUCAAAGAUGUCUUUUUCAUCAUUCAAGGAGACUUUUGCCACCAGUCAAAUAGUUUAAAAUUUAUAUAUAAUCCUUAUUAAGAUACAAAAUAGUGGACAAGACCACCAGCAACACAAUCAACAAUGUUUUAUAAGGGAAUUCUGGGUAAUCUAGGAAUUAAGGACCGUCUCAGUUUUGGUGAUCCAGCGCGGUAUACAGCAGCUUCACGUAGUUUCAGUUGUCUGGCACAGUCCUACUUUGUGCUGGGCUCUGAAAACCCAGAUAAUGGUGGUUGAUGGAUGAGGGAGGACUAGUCAAGUAUUGAGGUCCUUACACACCAGCGAAUUUGCGGAGCGAAAGGCAUGGGCAUCUGUGACAUCAUCAACAACAUGACUUUUGAUUGGCCAGAGGUCUAGCAGGUCCAGAUAUCCGCCUGCGAAUCUCAGAAAAAUUUGGCACAAGAGAGAAAAAGCUUGCAUUGUCUUUAUGCUGUUUUAAAAAAGGCGAAUAAGGCGAAUAAUUCACUUGGCGAAUUCGCGCCUGGUGUGUAAGGACCUUUAGACUUUAUGAUGCUUUGAGAGGUAGUCUACGAUCUUGUCCUGGACUAACCUUGUGGAGUUCUGGUUUGAGAUUCUGCAAUUCGGGAUAGUAAGUGACCAGCAGAGGGGGGAUGGCAUGAAACUCUGCAUUAAACUCAGGAGGUCUGUUCGUACCUCAGGGGUCUCUAGCUUUCCGACAGGGAGCUACACAUUUGCAUAAAAACUGAACAUUUCUGAACACAACAGAGUUCUCAUGCAGUGACCUGCUUUAACCUUUUCCUCUGUUUCUUAUCAGCCAGUGCAGAAAUGAAGAAAUGUGAAAGAAGGAGCAGUUCACCCACCAAAAAUAGAAACAGUUUGCUGGUCAAGAGCAGCACUUGACCUGAUUAUUUGUACCAAACACGGUUUCCUCUGUUUUCCUGUAAACACUUGUGGUGCAGAAACCCUGCAGCGCAGAAACCUGACCCUGGUUUAUUUUAGACAUAAUCACAUCCAUGGCCUGGUGCUCCUGUAAAGCCCCAGGCUCUGUGCUGGCACAAAACCACCUCCCUCUGGGCUCUUUGCCAUCUUCUUAUUAUUUAAGAAACAGCACAAACACUUCAGCCGGGCAUCCAGGCAGGAGCUGUUCAAUGAGCCAGAGUCGAGUUUGUCUCUGUCAACAGAAAACAAGGGCUCGUAAAUUGUGUGUUUUUAGAGUGGUAGGGAAUAAAUUUUAGGGAAAUCAAUAAUUCUCAUAAAACUACAGAUUAGAGGGACUCCGAGGCCUUAUUAAGAGCGAAGCCCUAAAUUGGAGUAUUUGCAGAUUUAGAUUGCAUCCAGAUUGAUUUUGAGAAAGUGCGGACGACAAAAACAAAACACUUUUUCCAAAUCCAAUGAAAGCCCCAUUUGUGGCUGAUUGCUGAGGAUUAUCAACUUCACAUCAAGACCAAAACCACUGAAGCCACAAAGCUGAGCAGAAUCACUGAUGCUGCGUCUGUAGCGUUUUUCAGAUGACAACAAAAAGACGACAGAGCAGAUUUGAACUGAUUUUUGGAGGAGAGUUGAUGGAUUUUCAUUUCAUGUGCUGUCUCGUACCCGUCACCAGAAAAGAUGGGAGGUGAUAAGAUUUUAAUUAAACCAACGCCAUCAGGAUUCUGCUAAUCCUUCAUCCUUCCUCCGAUUAAAACCUGUUUGGACUUUCUGUCUUUUUCUUUCUUCAAUAACAGAAACUUUAUCCCGAGUUUCACUUCUGUCACUGCUCUGCCAAGAUGGGAAAGUCUGGCUUCAGAUUCGGCCUGUAGAGGUCAGCUGGUCGUAGAUACAGACUCUGAUUGGUCAACAGACUGAGACAAAGAUAGCAGCCCUCCAUUAGCACAGAAAUCACAGCAUUUCUCUAAGAUUUUGAGCCAGGGUACCAAGAGGAAGAUCUGUCAGUGAGGGUCCAAACCAGUUAGAACUGGUUUUGAUCUGAAACCAGUUUCAUUCCCACUGUCACUCACUUUUCUAAAGAUUAGAGGACUGUAACCACUAGCUAUUUAAUCUACUUUUUCCACGGCUUCCUGAGACUGACCAGCUCUCUGGUAUCCUCCUCCACUGUUGCCAUGCCUUAAAGUCAUUGCCAUUGUGUUGACCGAUGGUUUUUUCCUACUCAAAAUGUCAAAUUAUAAAAUAUGGCCAGAUGUUCUGGACCCUGAAUCUGACUGGAAAGUUCAGAAGUAUUACCCCCAAUCUUCACCACAUCCAGAAUGGCAGCAAUUUUCGCCAUACGCCAAUUCCUACCGGAUCCGUUUGUGAGGCGAAUUCCGUGGCCAAUUACGGACAGCAGGAAUUGCGAGAACGCACAGGAACCCGCAGAUUCACAUGCAAUCACGUGAUAACAAGUUGUCUUUAGCCACAGAGGCUAACUGUAUAAGCAGUAGAUUGUGUCCUUCCAGAGGAGGAAAUCUACUUCUAGACUUCUAGAAUCAGCAUCUCCUCAUCCAUGGUGUCAUCGGGGUGAAAUGACGUCUAAAAACCUUUCACUUGUUUGUCUCCGCCCGUUUGCAUGGUGUGAAAUAUGAUCCUCCUGAAACACGGAGUGUUUUAUUUUGAAAAAGAAGCCGGAUGUUUUAUUUUGUGUCUGUGCCCGACUUCCUUUCCAGCACGGGUUAAUCUGUGCUGAAUUUAUCCGGCAUUUAUCCGCAGAAGAACAGAAAGAAGCCAGUGGAAAAUGACACGAUAACUUCAAUGGUUAUGAUCAGCUACAAUUGGCAAAUACGGCUUUUUCGUAGCCAUUCUGGAUGUGGUGGAAAUUGAGAGUUACAUUAUUAUUGUUGUUGUUGUUGUGCUGUAAUGUUUUAUCCCUAAUUAGCGUAUUUAUUCCUGCACUUUAUUUUGGUCAAGUUGAAGUGCUUUAAAUUAAGACCGUCUUCAUUGAAAGCGUGUCCGUACUCUUUGUUUGUAGUGAAGUUAAAUUCGAUAACGUCGACGAUCCUUUGUGAAGCUGUCGUCUUCUUUGAUGUAGUUUCAGUUUUUUCCUGACAUAAAGUUUAUUGUUGCUUGAGCGUCUGUGAACAUAAUCGCUGAUCUCUGCGCCCUCUCUCUGAUGAAUCUCUCUCUGAAUGAUUGUUAAACAUCGGUAUGGUACAAAAUAGCAGCUCUUAAAAGCCUUUCUUCCCUUCUGAUAGUGAGGGACUGGCAACAAAACCGGCCAUUUAGCACUGCUGUUUUGAUGAAAAAUGUUAUGUUAUAAAAGCUCAUUGAGGCGCAGAUGAAUCACCGGCAGUGUGUUAAAAAAAAUCCUAAUGGAUUCCUCUUUUCCUUCAUUCAUCUUUUCGCCGUCCUGCUCGCUUUUAUUACGGCAUAAUUCAGUCUUUGCAGGAUGUUAUGUGACUUUGUGAAUUACAGCUCAUUUUCUCAGCCCACUUUACAAGAACGAAGAGAAUAAAACCUCAUACUUGGAUUUUUGUGGUACAUCCUGCAGUCUUGUGUUGUGUCUGUGUGUUUUUCAGAGAUUCAGGAUCAGACUGUGGAGCUCUCAUGAGUUUGGAUGUUUAACAAAUAGAGUCUAAAC